UACGUAGGGGGCUAGCGUUGUCCGGAUUUAUUGGGCGUAAAGAGCGUGUAGGCGGCCAGGUAGGUCUGGUGUGAAAACUCGAGGCUUAACCUCGAGAUGUCAUCGGAAACCAUCUGGCUAGAGUCCGGAAGAGGAGAGUGGAAUUCCUGGUGUAGCGGUGAAAUGCGCAGAUAUCAGGAAGAACACCAAUGGCGAAAGCAGCCCUCUGGGACGGUACUGACGCUGAGACGCGAAAGCGUGGGGAGCGAACAGG
rnacentral:rRNA from 1 species